GGUAACGGCCCGCGCGCGCCGCCCGCCGGGGGCUCGCGCCAGCCACGAGGGAGCGUCCGCGGCCCGCGCGCCCGCGCGGCGGAGGAGAGGUGUUAAGUGUGAUGCUUCCAUAAUACAUUUGGAUGCUGUCAGCUAAGUUCACUUCUGAACUAAGGGGUUCCUCCAAAUGUUGGCUGAAAUUCAUCCCAAGGCUGGUCUGCAAAGUCUGCAAUUCAUAAUGGAGCUACUGUACUGGCUAUUGGAAGGAGGAGAUUCUGAAGAUAAGGAGUUCUCUUGUAGGAUGCCACUGGAAAUGUUGAAAUGAAAAAUAUUCAGCCGUUGGUCUUUGAAAUUUCCUGUGAUGUGUUUCAAUCUAGAUGCAAAGAACAUGGAAAAAUCAAAGUGCUCGAGUGGUUUAAAUAUGUUUUGGGUAUUCCUGUUUAUAGACUAUAAUACUUUUCCAAUUAAAAUCCUCAGUUGUCACGCAGAAGAAGGUUAAGCUGUAUUUGAUUGCCAGUUUUACUGAAAAUGCUUAGUAUUUUACAGUAUCACCAAAUAUAUUUUGUUUAGCCAAGGUAUAGGAAAAAUAAAAUAAAUUGUAUAGGUUGACUUUUUUCUAAAAUGUCUUUAUUGGAUUGAAUGAAUGUUUAUACCUGAAAAAAAAAGGUUCAAAAAAAUUCCUUUUUCUAUCAGAGUCAUUCUUUUGACAAUCAGAUAUUAGACUAGGUUUAAAAUAACUUUCUAAUAUGACUCAUAUUUAUGGGAGGAAAAAGACUUGAAAGAUAUUCCUAUGUGUACUUUAAUUUUCUGUAAUAGUCCCUCUGGAAUAGAAUAUCUCUUCCUCAAACAAAUCUAUUGGCUCAUUUCAUAUACAAGAAAAAGUUGCCCUAAAUGGCAGAGUUUCAUCUCUGUAAAGAAGGCUGACAUCCACUUCCUUCACAGAAUCCCUGCAUUUGGGUAAUUGAGUAAUGAUAGAUUACCUUGCCAUUGGGAAAUACCUUGUUGUGGCCUUUGUAGCAGCUAUAGGAAGAUGGAAGAAUUCUUUUGUAUAGACAGGUCUCUAGCCUCUUUGGUGUGGACACUGUGAAGGGGUACAUCUGGUGAGAAGGAGUGCUUAGGGAAGGAACUGGGAAGGUCCACAAAGGCUGAUGAUGACAAAGAAUCCAAGGGCUAUGAUGAAUUCUUAAGCUUAGAUCUCAGAGUCAUAAAGUAAAUUUAUUAGGCUAGAGAGAUUUCCUUUUUUAUUUUUGAUCAAACUUUAUUUUUUCAGAUUGUUAAGUUCACAUGCAGUUGUACAAAAUAAUACAGAGAUCUUUGAACACUACCCAGUUUCUCCUAAUAGUAACUUCUUGCAAUAUACUGUAUAGCACAGCAUCACAACCUGGAUACUGACAUUGAUGCAGUCAAGACAGAGAACAUUUAUAUCAUGAGGAGGAUCCCUCAUUACCGCCCUUUGAUAUCCACCCCUACUUCCAGACCAUCUCACUCCUCCCUUAACCCUGGCAACCACUAGCAUGUUCUCCAUUUCUAUAAAUUUGCCUUUAUAGGAAUGUUAUAUAAUUGCAAUUAAAGUGUGUAACCUUUUGGGGUUUGACUCACCCGGCAUCAUUUUCUGGAGAUUCAGCUUAUAUGUGUCAAUAGUUUGUUCCCUUUUUUUUAGUUCAGUAGUAUUCUGUGGUACGUGUGUACCACAUCACUCAUCAAUUCGGACUUCUGGGUUGUAUCUGGUAUUUGAUUAUUACAAAUAGAAGUACUAUAUAUAUAUUCGUGUAGAGGUUUCUGUGUGAACAUAAACUUUCAUUUUCCUGGGACAGAUGCCCACGAGUGAAAAUUGUGAGUCAUAUGGUAAUUAUGUAGAGUAUUUUUUUUUUGAGACGAUUUGUUUAUGAUUUUAAAACAUAAAAAUAUAAGUUGUAGCCAAAUAUAAGGAAGGAUUUUUCCACAAUCUAGACUUUAUUCUUAUUUUAGAGAAAUACUUUUGAAAAAAUUGCUUUAUUGGCAAACAAUUCCUAUGUAAAGGAAUAAAAGACGCAUAUACUCUAGGAAAGAUGUUGCAAAGCUGACAGGCAACUUUGAGAAAGAUGAGGGCAGUUUUCCAGUGUUACUGGAGACUUGACAUUCAAGGAUGUAUUAUGAUAGUUUCUGAAUUGAUAGAUUCUUUAGCGUUUGUCACUACCCUCAGGCCUGCAGUUUUUAUUUGUAGAAUUAACUCAUCUUUACAAUGCUUUGUUGAGUGCUGUUGCAGAAAAUGCUCAUGUAAUUCAAUUAUAUGCAGUUAGGAAAAAGAAGUAUCUUUUUCUAGUACAUGGCCCCUAAAAUGAUGACUUUCCACAAUGCUGAAUGGAGGAAACAGCUCUGUUUCCAUCAAACUCUGGUGGAAAUUAUACAAAGUUAUAUUAUGCUUUAUGAGACAUAGUGAGGUAGUACACAACCAUAUAUGCUAUAUUAUUGGGGAGACCCACUGAAAGAAUUUUCAAGGAUAAUUUUUGCUCUGAUUUUCUAUCAUGUAUAUUGACUUUAUUGAUUGAUUGAUUGAGAUGGAGUCUCACCCCGUCACCCAGGCUGAAGUGCAGUGGUGCAAUCUCUGCUCACUGCAACCUCCGCCUCUCAGGUUCAAGUGAUCCUCGUGCCUCAGCCUCCCGAGUAGCUGAGACUAUAGGUGUGUGCUACGAUGCCCAGCUAAUUUUUGUAUUUUUAGUAGAGACAGGAUUUGGUAGCCUGGUCUCGAACUCCUGACCUCAGGUGAUCUACCCACCUUGGCCUCCCAAAAUACUGGGAUUACAGGUGUGAGCCACCGUGCUGGCCAAGUAUAUUGACUUUAAAACGUUACCGGCUGGGCGUGGUGGUUCACGCCUGUUAUCCCAGCACUUUGGGAGCCCGAGGCGGAUGGAUUACCUGAAGUCAGGAGUUCGAGACCAGCCCAACCUGGUGAAACCCCGUCUCUACUAAAAAUACACAAAUUAGCCGGGCGUGGUGGCAGGCGCCUAUAAUCCCAACUACUGGGAAGGCUGAGGCAGGAGAAUUGCUUGAACCUGGCAGGCGGAGGCU
ensembl:lncRNA CRNDE colorectal neoplasia differentially expressed